rnacentral:rRNA from 1 species
UACGAAGGGGGCUAGCGUUGCUCGGAAUUACUGGGCGUAAAGGGCGCGUCGGCGGCUAUUUAAGUCGGGGGUGAAAGCCCAGGGCUCAACCCUGGAAUUGCCUUCGAUACUGGAUAUCUUGAGUUCGGGAGAGGUGAGUGGAAUGCCGAGUGUAGAGGUGAAAGUCGUAGAUAUUCGGCGGAACACCAGUGGCGAAGGCGACUCACUGGCCCGAUACUGACGCUGAGGCGCGAAAGCGUGGGGAGCAAACAGG